GAUGAACGCUAGCGGCAGGCUUAAUACAUGCAAGUCGAGGGGCAGCGGGUGUAGCAAUACAUGCCGGCGACCGGCGCACGGGUGCGUAACGCGUAUGUAACCUACCUUUAACUGGAGGAUAGCCCCGAGAAAUCGGGAUUAAUACUCCAUAAAAUUAUGAGAAGGCAUCUUUUAUAAUUAAAGCUCCGCGGUUUUAGAUGGCAUGCGUGACAUUAGCUAGUUGGUGAGGUAACGGCUCACCAAGGCUCCGAUGUCUAGGGGUUCUGAGAGGGAUUUAAACCCCCCACACUGGUACUGAGACACGGACCAGACUCCUACGGGAGGCAGCAGUAAGGAAUAUUGGGCAAUGGACGC
rnacentral:rRNA from 1 species